rnacentral:rRNA from 1 species
GACGAACGCUGGCGGCGUGCCUAACACAUGCAAGUCGAACGGGGAGUUAUUUAUAACUCCUAGUGGCGAACGGGUGAGUAACGCGUAGACAACCUGCCUCUAAAUUGGGGACAACACCGCGAAAGUGGUGCUAUUACCGAAUGUGGUAACUUGGUCGCAUGACUAGGUUAAGAAAGAUGGCCUCUAUAUAUAAGAUAUCGAUUAGAGAUGGGUCUGCGUCUGAUUAGCUAGUUGGUGAGGUAAUGGCUCACCAAGGCGACGAUCAGUAGCCGGUCUGAGAGGAUGAACGGCCACACUGGGACUGAGACACGGCCCAGACUCCUACGGGAGGCAGCAGUGGGGAAUCUUCCGCAAUGGACGAAAGUCUGACGGAGCAACGCCGCGUGAGUGAAGAAGGUCUUCGGAUUGUAAAGCUCUGUCGUUUGGGACGAACGUGGAUUGUGUGAAUAAUGCAGUCUAAUGACGGUACCAAAGGAGGAAGCCACGGCUAACUACGUGCCAGCCGCCGCAGUAA